rnacentral:rRNA from 1 species
UACAGAGGUCUCAAGCGUUGUUCGGAUUCAUUGGGCGUAAAGGGUGCGUAGGUGGCGGGGUUAGUCAGGUGUGAAAUCUCGGGGCUCAACCCCGAAACUGCACUUGAUACUGCCUUGCUAGAGUACUGGAGAGGAGAUUGGAAUUUACGGUGUAGCAGUGAAAUGCGUAGAUAUCGUAAGGAAGACCAGUGGCGAAGGCGAAUCUCUGGACAGUUACUGACACUGAGGAGCGAAAGCGUGGGGAGCGAACAGG